UCCCACCACAGGGAAACCCAGAUUUCAUUACUUGAAAGCAACGAAACUACAGAGUUUACAGCCAUUACUCCAAUCACCCAGGGCUCAAGAGCAAGGUGACCAAAAUAGCUAACAUACCAUUCAGCUUACAUAGCACCAGCAUUAACAAGCGCAGACACUACAAAAGUAAAGCAGGAGUUUACAGCCAUUACUCCAAUCACCCAGGGAUCAAGAGCUAGGUGACCAAAAUAGCUAGCAUACCAUUCAGCAGACACUACAAAAGUAAAGCAGGUUACAGGAAUCAGGCUAUUUAUUCUCAGAUCCUUCGGAACCCAAGCUCGAACAAAGGUCUUUGUCCUUGAUCAUUGGCUGCUCCUUGCUUGCUUGCACUUGU
rnacentral:lncRNA from 1 species